UCCACUCCAAUAAAAUCCUUCUACGAGCUAGUAAUGAUGCAAAGGCGAUUCCAUCCCUAAAAGUCUGCUUAAUUUGUUGAGAGUUUGGUGGAAUUCCAGAAAAUAGCCAAUUCUGAACAAGGCGUCAAUUUAAAAUGUAGUGCUUCUGCAAGAUGUUUAAAAAUAUUAAUCCAGUAGGCUUUCAGACAUUGUAUUUAUUUUUUUAAACCAGUGUUCCCAUAUUGUCAAGUGCAUUAAAUCCCCCCCCCCCCCCAGACUUGUCCUGCGUUUGAUUAUUUAUCUCAAUUCAAAGCUCACUUUGGAGAUUAAAUUAUUGACUAUAAAAUUUAAGAUAGGUCCACUUCUUCUUAAUACAUUUCAGCCUUUAUUCACAGUCGAGAUGCAGUUAAAAAUAAAAAAAUAAAUAACUACUGAACAAUCAGAGAGCCAGGCUUGAGACAGUAGAAGAGUUCAUGCGGCUUUAUUCUUUGACGUGUGAUAUUUUACAUUUAUGUGUCGGCUAGUUUAACUUCUGUCUGUCGAGUAUCUGCAAUAAACAAAACAACAUAAAUCAGAUUGUGUGACAGCUUAAUAUGGAAGUUGACCAGCUUCAACCUAAAUGAGAGUAACAAUUCUGCGGACACAUCAUAGGUCAAAUAAAACACAGUCACACAAAUAACAUACAUGGGGCCAAAAUUCACCCCUUCACUUGCAUGUUAAAGGAAUUAAUUAGCAAUUGUUAUCAGCCACUUGAAUCGCAAACAUACUUUCACAUCUAUUGCUCAUGACUGGUGUUAGAAAAAUUACCUUUAAAAAAGUAAUUACAGUUACUCAUUACUUUCCCCGAAAAGUAAUUUGAUAAAUAUAAUUAUUAUUUAUUAGAUGUAGUUAAUUACAUCUAUUAAAUUAAUGUUUUGUUUUUUUUAAACUUUCAAAAAUCUGGUGUAUACAGUUGAGAGAUGUUUCAUGAGAGAAGAGCGCGUGAGUGCGUGCCUUUAAAAGGCCGUUCCUGUUGCCAAGGGAAGUCAUGUGAUCUACCACUAUUUAUUAUUGUUGUUUACUGACUAACGAAACAUCCCCUUAUUAUUGUUACUCUGUAUUAAUUUCAUUGUGUAUACAAACAAGUGUCAAAAUACAGCUUUUUGGAGGCUUUUCUCCACCAGUCUCUCUUCUGGCUGGGAUGUGCAGGCGUCAUGUCACAUAUUUUUUGUCUUCUUUGAGAACAUUCUGACCCUUAUUAAACGGGUAGGAUUUCAUAUCAGAUGUUGAAAAAUAUUGACUUAUUUCAGCUUAUAUAUAUUUGAUUUGUAUGAUUGUUCGUCACGGCACAGGCGCACCCCAGUGCGCAUUCAUGGCACGCGCCACUCCGGCUGCAGCAGGCGGCUGCAUUCAAUCGGCUCAAUCAGCACUCUACACACCUGUCGCUGAUGAGCUUCCUCGCCUUCUUAAGCCAGUGCAAACCUGCGUUCCGGGCCAGAACGUAGCGACCUGUUCCUGUACACAGCAUUUCUACAUCCCCGCGUCACGAGCUGUGUGUCUCGUCUCCCCGUGUUCCCCUCUGGUUCCCCGGCUGCCCCUCUUGGAUAUUGACCUCCCGCCUGGAUACGGACUUUAACGCCUCGCCCCUGCCCUUGACCUCACGCCUGCCCACAGACCUCCGAGCCUGCCUUGCCCCCUCUUGGACUUCCGCGCCUCGCUCAACACUUCCGCAGGCCUAGAGUGGACCUUGUGGUCUGCUGGUGGGUCUGGACUUGAGGGCCUUGGAGCAGCUGGACCUCCAGACCUCCUGUCACAGAAGCAGAUGUUGGAGAUUGACAAGGUUCCCCCAUGUCCCCAAGGUUCCUUUCAUUGCUUCUGCUGUCGUUUUUUUGUAGUUUUCGAACAAACAUCUGAAAAUGUCAACAUAUGUAUGCUACAAUACCUACAUAAAUACAUAUUAUGCAAUGUUUGUUUCUACUGUUUUGCUGCCGCCUGUCUGCCUUCUCUUGCACCGCCUCGCUGACAGUCCUGGGUAUAGCCUCUCUCUCACACCUGCGGGUGGUUAUCAAUUACGCAUUUUUAAGCGGGGCUCACCGCCACAGCCAGCGCCAGUUGUUGACUAUGGUUCAAUCAACUGCAAGGACUUUUCCACUCGCUUGGCUCCAUUGUGAUCAUCUCUCCUGUUGGCUCCGCUCACAGUUGGGUAGCUUAUUCUCCACUCCGUUUGAGUGCGCUUUUUGUUUAUUUGCACUCUGUUUAAGUGUGCUUUGUGUUUGUUAUUACACUCCUCAUUAGUGCAUUUUUCUUCUUUCUAAGUGUCCAUCUGUGCUUUGGGGUCCGAUUCUGGCUUAAGCCGUCCAAAUAUGUUACACUUAAAGGCCUACUGAAAUGAUUUUUUUCUAU